rnacentral:rRNA from 1 species
UAGGGAAUCUUCGGCAAUGGACGAAAGUCUGACCGAGCAACGCCGCGUGAGUGAAGAAGGUUUUCGGAUCGUAAAACUCUGUUGUUAGAGAAGAACAAGGACGUUAGUAACUGAACGUCCCCUGACGGUAUCUAACCAGAAAGCCACGGCUAACUACGUGCCAGCAGCCGCGGUAAUACGUAGGUGGCAAGCGUUGUCCGGAUUUAUAGGGCGUAAAGCGAGCGCAGGCGGUUUCUUAAGUCUGAUGUGAAAGCCCCCGGCUCAACCGGGGAGGGUCAUUGGAAACUGGGAGACUUGAGUGCAGAAGAGGAGAGUGGAAUUCCAUGUGUAGCGGUGAAAUGCGUAGAUAUAUGGAGGAACACCAGUGGCGAAGGCGGCUCUCUGGUCUGUAACUGACGCUGAGGCUCGAAAGCGUGGGGAGCAAACAGG